rnacentral:rRNA from 1 species
AUUGAACGCUGGCGGCAGGCCUAACACAUGCAAGUCGAGCGGGGUUUUCGGACCUAGCGGCGGACGGGUGAGUAAUGCGUAGGAAGCUACCCGAUAGAGGGGGAUACCAGUUGGAAACGACUGUUAAUACCGCAUAAUGUCUACGGACCAAAGUGUGGGACCUUCGGGCCACAUGCUAUCGGAUGUGCCUACGUGGGAUUAGCUAGUUGGUGAGGUAAUGGCUCACCAAGGCGACGAUCCCUAGCUGGUUUGAGAGGAUGAUCAGCCACACUGGAACUGGGACACGGUCCAGACUCCUAAGGGGGCAGCAGUGGGGAAUAUUGGACAAUGGGCGCAAGCCUGAUCCAGCCAUGCCGCGUGUGUGAAGAAGGCCUUCGGGUUGUAAAGCACUUUCAGUAAGGAGGAAGCGUUGAGUGUUAAUAGUACUCAGCGUUGACGUUACUUACAGAAGAAGCACCGGCUAACUCUGUGCCAGCCGCCGCGGUAAGAC